rnacentral:rRNA from 1 species
GUCGAGCGGUAACAGAAAGUAGCUUGCUACUUUGCUGACGAGCGGCGGACGGGUGAGUAAUGCUUGGGAGCAUGCCUUGAGGUGGGGGACAACAGUUGGAAACGACUGCUAAUACCGCAUAAUGUCUACGGACCAAAGGGGGCUUCGGCUCUCGCCUUUAGAUUGGCCCAAGUGGGAUUAGCUAGUUGGUGAGGUAAUGGCUCACCAAGGCAACGAUCCCUAGCUGGUUUGAGAGGAUGAUCAGCCACACUGGAACUGAGACACGGUCCAGACUCCUACGGGAGGCAGCAGUGGGGAAUAUUGCACAAUGGGCGAAAGCCUGAUGCAGCCAUGCCGCGUGUGUGAAGAAGGCCUUCGGGUUGUAAAGCACUUUCAGUCAGGAGGAAAGGGUGUGAGUUAAUACCUCAUAUCUGUGACGUUACUGACAGAAGAAGCACCGGCUAACUCCGUGCCAGCAGCCGCGGUAAUACGGAGGGUGCGAGCGUUAAUCGGAAUUACUGGGCGUAAAGCGUACGCAGGCGGUUUGUUAAGCGAGAUGUGAAAGCCCCGGGCUCAACCUGGGAGCUGCAUUUCGAACUGGCAAACUAGAGUGUGAUAGAGGGUAGUAAGAAUUUCAGGUGUACCGGUGA